UACAGAGGGUGCGAGCGUUAAUCGGAAUUACUGGGCGUAAAGCGCACGCAGGCGGUCUGUCAAGUCGGAUGUGAAAUCCCCGGUCUCAACCUGGGAACUGCAUCCGAAACGGGCAGGCUAGAGUCUUGUAGAGGGGGGUAGAAUCCCAGAUGUAGCGCUGAACUGCGUAGAGAUCUGGAGGAAUACCGGUGGCGAAGCCGGCCCCCGGGACAAAGACUGACGCUCAGGUGCGAAAGCGUGGGGAGCAAACAGG
rnacentral:misc_RNA from 1 species